CUAUUUCCAGAUUUAAAAGAACCAGGUUCCAUCUAAACUUUAAAUGUCCCCAAAAAUUGGCGAAGGCCUUAAAUGAAUACAACUUUUGUUUUUACAGAUACAGGCUAGUUCCAAAGGUUUAUUUUCCUGAGCAAAUUCAUGAUGUUGUACGGGCCACAAAGUAUUUCCUGAAGCCAGAAGUCUUACAGAAGUAUAUGGUUGAUCCAGGCAGAAUUUGCAUUUCUGGUGACAGUGCUGGUGGAAAUCUGGCUGCUGCCCUUGGACAACAGUUUACUCAAGAUGCCAGCCUAAAAAAUAAGCUCAAACUACAAGCUUUAAUUUAUCCGGUUCUUCAAGCUUUAGAUUUUAACACACCAUCUUAUCAGCAGAAUGUGAACACCCCAAUCCUGCCCCGCUAUGUCAUGGUGAAGUAUUGGGUGGACUACUUCAAAGGCAACUAUGACUUUGUGCAGGCAAUGAUUGUUAACAAUCACACUUCACUUGAUGUGGAAGAGGCUGCUGCCCUCAGGGCCCGUCUAAACUGGACAUCCCUCUUGCCUGCAUCCUUCACAAAGAACUACAAGCCUGUUGUACAGACCACAGGCAAU
rnacentral:sRNA from 1 species